AACCACCACAGUAUGUGAGAGGAAGAGUGCAAUAGUUGCUCCCAUAUGUUUGCUUAUGUAGAUGGGUACAUUGAAACCUUGAAGGAACACAAACCAAAAAUUAUCUGGGAUGAACAAAUUGCUGAACACUACUUUGAAUAUAAAAA